CUUAAGGUAACAAUAGUCACUUUUAAAAAUUGGUUAUCUCAUCUAAUUUCUUGCUUUUAUUUGUGUAAUACAAUUUAUGUACUUCAAAGGCAUAGUUUUGGUUUAGAUGUGAAAUUGCCUUAAUCUGUUUGUUUCCAUUACAAAUGUUAUUGUCUUUAUAGUUUUGUUUCUUUUUUUGGGGUGUAAUAAAUUUGGAAAAAUUACAAGGAAUUGCUAGCAUAGGACUUCCUGACAGAGGAGGUUUGCGUCCAAUAGUUUGGAAGGCAAAGGGAACUACCAAUAAUUUUUCACUCUCAUGGUUUCUGUUCUUCUAUUGAUUGCGUUGAGAAGGGAGUUGAGAAGCAAUCCUGAGAGUGCUGCAGAGGCAGUCAUGCUGCACAGAUUGGAGUGCACCACAGCAGUCAGGACUAGGAUUGGUGUUAGUGGCACUAGGCACCACAAAAGGUGCGCACACAUUCAGGUAGGUGAGCUCAAUUGUGCAGCUUUGUGCCUUAACCGAUUGGGUUUACACUGCUGCUACAGCCAGCUACAGAAGUAGUGCUGCAGCUGCAUCACGUGAGCUGAGAGAUGCCAGUGACUUGACAAUUUCCGUGACUAAUUUUAUCUUUUCUAAAUCUUGGGCUAAUUCUCUUACUCAUUUUUAUGACUUAUUCAUUGGGAUUUCAGACACUUUAGAGUUGGAUUUGGAUGGUGAGAGUAUCUAUCGAUGAGUUACUUAUCUUAAGUUUUUAGCACACCACAAUUUUGUUGUGUUGAGAAUUAAUGUUGUUAAUUUUAUUUUGACACCAAUCGUAUUAGUCAUUACGCUCUAAUUUGUCUUUGAUGAUUAUUUGAUGUUUUUAACAGCUUAUAAACA